rnacentral:rRNA from 1 species
GACGAGCGCUGGCGGCGUGCUUAACACAUGCAAGUCGAACGGAAAGGCCCUGCUUUUGUGGGGUGCUCGAGUGGCGAACGGGUGAGUAACACGUGAGUAACCUGCCCUUGACUUUGGGAUAACUUCAGGAAACUGGGGCUAAUACCGGAUAGGAGCUCCUGCUGCAUGGUGGGGGUUGGAAAGUUUCGGCGGUUGGGGAUGGACUCGCGGCUUAUCAGCUUGUUGGUGGGGUAGUGGCUUACCAAGGCUUUGACGGGUAGCCGGCCUGAAAGGGUGACCGGCCACAUUGGGACUGAGAUACGGCCCAGACUCCUACGGGAGGCAGCAGUGGGGAAUAUUGCACAAUGGGCGGAAGCCUGAUGCAGCAACGCCGCGUGCGGGAUGACGGCCUUCGGGUUGUAAACCGCUUUCGCCUGUGACGAAGCGUGAGUGACGGUAAUGGGUAAAGAAGCACCGGCUAACUACGUG